AUUGAACGCUGGCGGCAGGCCUAACACAUGCAAGUCGGACGAGCGGCGGACGGGUGAGUAAUGUAUGGGAAACUGCCCGAUGGAGGGGGAUAACUACUGGAAACGGUAGCUAAUACCGCAUACCAUCAGAUGAACCCAUAUGGGAUUAGCUUGUAGGUAAGGUAACGGCUUACCUAGGCGACGAUCCCUAGCUGGUCUGAGAGGAUGACCAGCCACACUGGAACUGAGACACGGCCCAGACUCCUACGGGAGGCAGCAGUGGGGAAUAUUGCACAAUGGGCGCAAGCCUGAUGCAGCCAUGCCGCGUGUAUGAAGAAGGCCUUCGGGUUGUAAAGUACUUUCAGUCGGGAGGCGUUACCCACAGAAGAAGCACCGGCUAACUCCGUGCCAGCCGCCGCGGUAAUUC
rnacentral:rRNA from 1 species